UACGGAGGGGGCUAGCGUUAUUCGGAAUUAUUGGGCGUAAAGGGCGUGUAGGCGGCUUCGUAAGUCUUGUGUGAAAGCCCUCGGCUCAACCGAGGAAUUGCACGAGAAACUGCGUGGCUCGAGUCCGGAAGAGGAUAGUGGAAUUCCCAGUGUAGCGGUGAAAUGCGUAGAUAUUGGGAGGAACACCGGUGGCGAAGGCGGCUAUCUGGACCGGUACUGACGCUGAUACGCGAAAGCCAGGGGAGCAAACGGG
rnacentral:rRNA from 1 species